rnacentral:rRNA from 1 species
UACGUAGGGGGCUAGCGUUGUCCGGAAUCAUUGGGCGUAAAGAGCGUGUAGGCGGUCCGGUAAGUCCGCUGUGAAAGUCGGGGGCUCAACCCUUGAAUGCCGGCCGAUACUGCCGGGCUAGAGUCCGGAAGAGGUGAGUGGAAUUCCUGGUGUAGCGGUGAAAUGCGCAGAUAUCAGGAGGAACACCGAUGGCGAAGGCAGCUCACUGGGACGGUACUGACGCUGAGACGCGAAAGCGUGGGGAGCGAACAGG